UACGCAGGCGGCUUGGUAAGUCGGGUGUGAAAUCCCGGGGCUCAACCCCGGAACUGCAUUCGAAACUGCCUCGCUUGAAUACGGGAGAGGGAAGCGGAAUUCCUGGUGUAGAGGUGAAAUUCGUAGAUAUCAGGAGGAACACCAGUGGCGAAAGCGGCUUCCUGGCCCGAUAUUGACGCUCAUGUACGAAAGCGUGGGGAGCAAACA
rnacentral:rRNA from 1 species